rnacentral:miRNA from 1 species
UUCCAGCCAAUAAGCAGCAGACCCUCCCUCCCAGACCCUCCCACCUCCUGGACAGCAUCCAUUUUACAUUCAUUGUGAAGCUGCAUUCUUAGUGAGCUGUCCAGGAGGUGGGAGGGUCUGGGAGGGAGGGUCUGCUGCUGAUUGGUUGG